rnacentral:rRNA from 1 species
UAGGGAAUCUUCCACAAUGGACGAAAGUCUGAUGGAGCAACGCCGCGUGAGUGAAGAAGGGUUUCGGCUCGUAAAGCUCUGUUGGUAGUAAAGAAAGAUAGAGGUAGUAACUGGCCUUUAUUUGACGGUAAUUACUUAGAAAGUCACGGCUAACUACGUGCC